GCGACCCCAGGUCAGGCGGGACYACCCGCUGAGUUUAA
rnacentral:rRNA from 1 species